rnacentral:rRNA from 1 species
UGGGGAAUAUUGCACAAUGGGCGCAGGCCUGAUGCAGCCAUGCCGCGUGUGUGAAGAAGGCCUUCGGGUUGUAAAGCACUUUCAGCGAGGAGGAAGGUGGUGAGCUUAAUACGCUCAUCAAUUGACGUUACUCGCAGAAGAAGCACCGGCUAACUCCGUGCCAGCAGCCGCGGUAAUACGGAGGGUGCAAGCGUUAAUCGGAAUUACUGGGCGUAAAGCGCACGCAGGCGGUUUGUUAAGUCAGAUGUGAAAUCCCCGGGCUCAACCUGGGAACUGCAUUUGAAACUGGCAAGCUAGAGUCUCGUAGAGGGGGGUAGAAUUCCAGGUGUAGCGGUGAAAUGCGUAGAGAUCUGGAGGAAUACCGGUGGCGAAGGCGGCCCCCUGGACGAAGACUGACGCUCAGGUGCGAAAGCGUGGGGCAGCAAACAGGAUUAGAUACCCUGGUAGUCCACGCUGUAAACGAUGUCGAUUUGGAGGUUGUG